rnacentral:lncRNA from 1 species
GUUUCACAGCUUGGGCCUGUUCAUGCGCAAGACUUCAAAUUUAACUUAAAAACGUUGUUUUGGCGCCAAGCUGCUGUUUCUUUGAGAGAUCCUGCCUUUACCUGCUCCCUCCUAUACUGAUGUGGUGUAUGUGGUACUGCUGAGCUUGUAUGUGAUCUGAACCAUUGUAAAGGUUGCAGUUCAAGGGCCUGAGGUAUUAAAUUCUUUUCAGAUCAGCUGUGAUCAAUAUUUUUUGGAACUUGAUAUAUAACAAUAAAAGCUGUAAUGGCUCCAUUAGCAUUUUGUGUAAAUGUUUGUGUUAAAAUUAUAGCUUUAAUGAGGUCUUUCUACAUUAGUUUCAGUUAUAAAGUAUGUAUAUGUGUACAUAUAGUAUGUAUAUUUACAGUACAGUAUGUUGUGUUUGUUGACAUGUUUUCAGGUGGAAGCAGAAUUUGUGAGGAUUACUACUGCUCCACUUGUUCCAAGGCUUUUUGCACAACUUGACCAAUACACUGACCAGCUCAUAAAAGUCUUCAAGAAAAAAGGAGGUGCUGCAGUGAAGAAAAUUAGACAAACUUUGGCUCCAGCCGCAAAGAAGGAAACUAUUGAAAACGGGAGGGAGUGUGUCCUCAGGGUACUACCUUUUUACCUGAAUGAAGACCCAAGCAUCCUCUUCAAAGAAUAAUUGCUACAGCUACAACUGUUCAGAGGGAGCUGGAACAAAUUACCCUUGCUAUCUUCACCAUUGAAAAAGCUGAUGUCAGCACUCCUCCAGCCGAUGUGGGUAUAACCAUCUAGGGUGUUCUGCAUGACCUGGAAAACAUGGCCUCUGCAUGUGCACUCUUAAUGGGUGGGAUAUAUGCACUGAAUCUCAGUUAACCUCGAGACUGAAAGCUUUCUUUGAAGUACUUCAGAAGCUCUUCCUUCAUCUGUAUGUCAGCAGACUCUUGACCAAGGUACAGAUACUCAAGAAUAAACUGAACGAAUAAGCCAACCCUUAAUUUGGAUGAUGAAUGUUCUGUCAGAUGGACAGAAGUUUUUCAGAGGCUGAAUGGGAAUAAAACGGUAAUUUGUUGAAAAUGACAGAUAAAGGGAAAAUUACAUGUAAGAGAAAUUUAGAAAAGUUUGUAAACUACUACAAUUUGAGAGAUUUUACUCUUGUGGGGGGAGGAGGGGCUAGUAAGAGACAAUCAAAAGUGUUGAGAUUUAAAGGAUUUAAUUGAGAGAUGAUACUGCACCAGAAAUGUUGAAGGGUGGUGUAUAUAUUAGCGUUCAAGGUAUAUUGUUAUGAGGUGGAAAUAUGUUCAUAUUCUGUUUGUGUUACAUUGUGUGCAUUGUAAAGGUAAUUGCAAUACAUACUAAGAAUAAGGGUAGUUAGGAAUGCAGGAUGAAUGUAUAUUUUGCGGACUUUUAAAGACGAACAAUUGUUUCCAUGUUAAAAUGUUUACAACCCAAGUUUUUUGCCCUAACACUGGUAAAAUAAACGUUGAGGGUGGCAAGUGUUAAAUGGUUACUGUUGUGCUGUUGCAAAAAAACUGAACGCUGACAAGCUGUUUUAUUGUUAGACCAUAAUGCUGGCAUGCUUUAUUUAAGUUUUAUUUGGGAUGGUGAUAUAAUUUUCUUUGAUUGCUAAUAUCAGUGGACUAUUUAUUAUUAGGGCCCGAGCACUGAGAGUGCGAAGGCCCUAUUGUAUCUGCUCCAUUUAUUAUUAUUAUUAGGGCCCGAGCACUGAGAGUGCGAAGGCCCUAUUGUAUCUGCUCUGUUUAUUAUUAUUAUUAUUAUUAUUAUUAUUAGGGCCCGAGCACCGAGAGUGCGAAGGCCCUAUUGUAUCUGCUCUGUUUCUUAUUAUUAUUAUUAUUAUUAUUAUUAUUAUUAUUUCGGCAAAUGGAUCGGCCUUUUGAGGGCCUAAACAUGCUCGAAAACUCAUGAAAUUUUGCACACGCGUCAGGUGUGGUGAAAAUUUACGUAUUUUAAUGUCCGUAGACAUGUCCAGGGAAAAUUGGCUCAGUAGCGCCACCUAGAAAAAUGAGAAACGCGAGCCCCCGAGAUGGGUAUGACCUACAUGUAUAAAACUCGGAACACAUAUCUAACGUUUGGAGACGCACAAAAAAGUCUAUUAUGGCCAUGUCCUAAACCCAACAGGAAGUCCGCCAUUUGGAAGUGAAGGUGACAUUUUG